UACGUAGGGUGCAAGCGUUGUCCGGAAUUAUUGGGCGUAAAGCGCACGUAGGCGGAUGUGCCAGUCAGGGGUGAAAUCCCGGAGCUCAACUUCGGAACUGCCUCUGAUACAGCACGUCUUGAGUCCGGAAGAGGUGGGUGGAAUUCCUAGUGUAGAGGUGAAAUUCGUAGAUAUUAGGAAGAACACCGGUGGCGAAGGCGGCCCACUGGUCCGGUACUGACGCUGAGGUGCGAAAGCGUGGGGAGCAAACAGG
rnacentral:rRNA from 1 species